UCAAUUAUAACAGCGAUCAGUUGGAUCCGUCGUUUGACUGUUGACUGUCGCGUCGAGCGCAUUGCUGUCCCGUUGGCGUUCCCGCGUUGCGAUCACACGUGUGUCCACCUCAGAUGCGUCCGCGUGUGCGUGUCCGAACCCAACGCGGCUCCGCGAGUUACUUGUGCCGUUGACCAACCCAUUCAUUCAUGUGACAUUUUUUCGCACGGAUUAUCAACAUGAUUCCUUUACGCGUGGAGGUGCUGCUUGUGUGGGUGAUAGUGGGGGAGAGGACGAGUUGGGCCGACGACAAGUGGGUAUGGGGCGAGAAGAGCAGGAGUCGCGGCCGAUCCGGUGAAUCCGCUCAAAGGGAUCAUGAGCAAGUCUCGAGAGAGAGCCUCGAGUACGAUCGACAACUCCAAGGGAUCUACAGCCACGAACGACCCGCCUACAACGACAACGUUUCCAAACAAACCAUCGACAUCCUUUCCAACUAUGAAUCAAAAACCCGACCCGAAUCCGACUACCGAUACGAGGUGUACGAGAACAGUGGAUUGGCAGACACGAGACCUCCACCCUACCGACCGGUAGCGUUCGGCUCGCCAAACCGACCGGUCGUUCCGCUACCCUCGUCAAAUCGGCCGGGGGUGUCACUACCCUCGCCGAACCGACCGGUGGCGGCGUUGGCCUCGCCAAGUCGCCCAGUUCCAGCGGCGUCCAUCUUCGCCCUACCCGCGAGGCCGGUUCCCGUCGUGAGCAGACCGAGCGCGCUGCCCAUCACGCUGCCCUCCCCGGCCGGCUCCAGGCCGAACCCCAACUUUGCUGGACCCCAGGGUGCCGCCUCAUCGGUGGGAAUUCUUACAGGUCCCGUGCCCUCCUGGGAGAACGCCCAGAGCACUCAUAAGAACGGCGACCCUACCCAGUUUGAACGCUGCAAGUGCUCCUUCUCCUUCAACUGCAAAGCGCCUGGCAUUCAGUUUGGCAAUUGCGAUGUAGGGAAACAGUACUGUUGCUACAACUCAAAAGGCGGCGGCUCAAGCACGCAUGCCGGAUUUGGGUCUCAUCUAGACGUAGACCGAACCGAUGGGAGCAACGGACAGUUACCGGCCAUCCUCGCUGGUCCGGGAGGGCCCGUCGACAACUACAACUUGGACGCUCCAGGUCCUGACGCCUCUGUAGAUUACCCCGGAGCCGGAGCCGGGCCCUUCACCAAGGAGUCCUCAAAUACGGAUCCUCAGACGCCAUUUUUCACCAAACUGUGGUCAUUUUUUGGUAACAUAUUUUAAAUGACUGCCAGUGCACUGAGCUGGACUCAAUGACAAGUUGCCAUCUCGCCGAUCAAGACCAAACCCAUUGAGGCCACCUCCACCUAACCGGGGUCCUCCGCCUCCUCCCUUCGGAGCAGGUCCACCGCCGCCUAUUCCUCCCUCGCCUUUCGGAGGAAGACCGUCGCUGCCACCUCCCCCGCCACCCCCUAACGCGCCGGAGCCUUUCUUCCGACCCUACACAGGACCCCCUGUGCCCCCGGGACCUCCACUGCCUCCGUUGCCCUUCUACGAUUACGUGUCUAGAACCUCCAACGUCACGAAAAUCGUCUCGGAGAACGCCAGCAACAGUGAAGAUCCUUAAACGACGAUUAAUCAAUAAAUUAAAUGGUAGAAUAAGUUGUGAAAUUUGUAAAUAGAUUUGAUUGAUCCGGAAAAUUAAGAUAUCCCCUGAACCACUCUCGUGAAUUAAGUACUUGUAAAUAAUAAUUGACCUGGACUGCUCACACAUGAGUAGAUGGAACUGGUUCAAUUUCGUCGUAUGGGUUUUUUUUUUUUUUUUUUUUUUUUUUUUUUUUUUUUUUUUUUUUAAAUGUAUUUAUUUACUAUUUUUUCUGUUAAAAUUUUAAAACAACUCAAUUAAGCUACCGAAUUCGAAUAAGAUACUAAUUCAAGAUUAGCAAUAAUGCAAGCUACAAAAUCGCCAACCCCGGUUUGACGUAUUCUGUUAAGUUCUAAUACACAAAAUAUAAAUUAUUUUCAGAAUUAAACUUCUUGCUUCUUUGAAAAUACAUCAAGACGACAAGAAUAGAAAGAGAGAACUAAGUUUCAAGACCAAUACCUACUGCAAAUAUUGCCUCCUUGGUAUAAAAGCUAAAUUCAAUUUUAUACAAAGUAGAAAACGUUUCGUUAAUGAACUUAAUGGCCGUGCUUCGACUAAAGUCUCCCAAAAAUUCUAUAAAAUUAAAUAGAAUAAAUAUGGUCUCAUUUUUGAGCGCCGGUGUCCAAUAAUGGCGUUGGUAUCGAUAUGCUUGAGUCAUUUUAAAAAUAUCUGGUCAGUGCUUGAUUUAGAAACUGAAGUAGUACUUCGAUUUAAAUUUUGCUCUAUGUUUGUACAGAUUUCUUAAUUAUUAAUUUUUUGUAAGUGUGUUAAAACUCCCAUUUUAUUUUUAAAUAAAAAAACUUACUUUUUAAUGAAAAAA